rnacentral:rRNA from 1 species
UACGGGGGGGGCAAGCGUUAUUCUACGUUACUGGGUGUAAAAAGUAUUAAGACGGUUUAAUAAGUUUCAUUUGAAAGCCUAGACUUCAAUUCUAGAAUUAAUUGAAAAUACUGUUAAACUAGAGUAUAUUAGGAGAUGGUUGUAUGUUUAGUGUAGAGUUAGAAUUCUUUAAUAUUAAAAAGACAUUCAAUUGGUGAAGACUACCAUCUAUAGUAUAACUGACGUUGAAAUACAAAAGCGUGAGGAGCAAACAGG